UACGUAGGUGACAAGCGUUGUCCGGAUUACUGGGCGUAAAGAGCGCGCAGGCGGUCGUUCAAGUCGAGUGUGAAAGCCCCCGGCUCAACUGGGGAGGGUCAUUCGAUACUGAUCGACUCGAAGGCAGGAGAGGGAAGUGGAAUUCCCGGUGAUAGCGGUGAAAUGCGUAGAUAUCGGGAGGAACACCAGUGGCGAAGGCGGCGAUCUGGGAAGAUACUGACGCUGAGGUGCGAAAGCGUGGGAGCAAACAGG
rnacentral:rRNA from 1 species